CCUACGGGGGGCUGCAGUGAGGAAUAUUGGUCAAUGGCCGGAAGCCUGAACCAGCCAAGCCGCGUGAAGGACGACGGUGCCAAGCAUUGUAAACUUCUUUUGUCAAGGGACAAAAUCAGUCUCGAGAGCCUGACCGAGUGUACUUGAAGAAAAAGCAUCGGCUAACUCCGUGCCAGCAGCCGCGGUAAUACGGAGGAUGCGAGCGUUAUCCGGAUUUAUUGGGUUUAAAGGGUGCGUAGGCGGACUGUUAAGUCAGCGGUAAAAGCCCGGGGCUCAACCCCGGCGAGCCGGUGAAACUGGCUGUCUUGAGAUGUCGAGAGGUAUGCGGAAUGCGCAGUGUAGCGGUGAAAUGCUUAGAUAUUGCGCAGAACUCCGAUUGCGAAGGCAGCAUACCGGCGGCGAUCUGACGCUGAGGCACGAAAGCGUGGGUAUCGAACAGGAUUAGAUACCCGAGUAGUC
rnacentral:rRNA from 1 species